ensembl:snRNA U6 U6 spliceosomal RNA
GAGCUCUCUUUGACAGCACAUAUACUAAAAUUGGAACAGUACAGAGAAGAUUAGCAUGGCUCCUGUGCAAGAAUGGUGCACAAAUUUGUGAAGCAUUUCAUAUUUUA